AGCGAACGCUGGCGGCAGGCCUAACACAUGCAAGUCGAACGAACCUUUCGGGGUUAGUGGCGGACGGGUGAGUAACACGUGGGAACGUGCCUUUAGGUUCGGAAUAACUCAGGGAAACUUGUGCUAAUACCGAAUGUGCCCUUCGGGGGAAAGAUUUAUCGCCUUUAGAGCGGCCCGCGUCUGAUUAGCUAGUUGGUUGAGGUAAUGGCUCACCAAGGCGACGAUCAGUAGCUGGUCUGAGAGGAUGAUCAGCCACAUUGGGACUGAGACACGGCCCAAACUCCUACGGGAGGCAGCAGUGGGGAAUCUUGCGCAAUGGGCGAAAGCCUGACGCAGCCAUGCCGCGUGAAUGAUGAAGGUCUUAGGAUGUAAAAUUCUUUCACCGGGGACGAUAAUGACGGUACCCGGAGAAGAAGCCCCGGCUAACUUCGUG
rnacentral:rRNA from 1 species